GAAAACACAAGGAGCAGAAGACAGCAACUCACAUGGGAUGGUGGGAGAAAGGCAGGCCUCCUGCUGGCUGGAGACAACACCCUGGAAAGGCACAUGGCAGGUGGCUUUGCCAGGCAGGGUGGACCCUGUUUGACUUUGCCCUGAUCCAAUAAAGCAGACUCUGAAAAUAAAAACAACACGAAAACAAUGGCGAGAUCUGCCUCCUUAAAGGGAAAGCUAAACUAAAAGGAAUCAAAACAACUUGACUCCUUGGCUUCUGCUUAUUGCUUCAUCUACCACCUUUACUAAGGAUUCUGUGGCCACUGUCUCUUUCCUUGGCCCCUGCAUCAUCACCUUUUCCUGUGCUCCCAACCUGGUCUUGAAACAGCUCCCAUAACCAUUGUUUCCCUUCAUCUGGCUGGUACACUUCCUUUCCUAAGUCUCCUGCCUUUCGUAAUACAGUCGCAUUUCACUUUCCGGGCGAACCGGGACACCAUCCCAAGGUGUAUUUUGGGUUGUUUGUUUUUUAAAAUGGAGCUUGUAAAACUCUUCUCCUAAUGUUAAGCGUUGCUGGGCAGGUGUCUCUCUUACAACCACAGACUGGCCAUUUGCUCUUGGGUGAUUACACUGAAGUCCAGCCAUUCGUUUGCCAUUUAGUGUUAAAUCUAGGAACUUGAUCCAGCCAUUAGGCUGCAUCCCUGUCUUUCCCACCGCACCCUGUGGGAGCCAGUGUAACAGGUGGAUGGAGCUACCUUGCCUGUCAAUCAUUUGGCAUCACUAUGAUACCAGGUCAUAGUUUUGGCUGUGUGGGUGUGUUCAGGUGCUAUGCAAACCCCAAUGGCAAUUAAAUUAAGUCAUGGCAUGGUGAUUCUGGUUUUUGUUGAACUGUGGACAAUGCUGGUCAUAUUAUGUGACAGCAGCCUCAGGCAGCGAGCGGGCUUUUGGUACCAUUAAGGGAGAUGGAUGUGAGUGACAGUCGAGACCCAUAAAGCACAAUCCGGCAGGGAAUCCAACUGAAAUAAUGGGAAUUGCACAACAGCGUAAUGUUGUUGGAUUUUGCCCCUCUGGCCCCAAGAUGUCUUGGGGUGGCCUUAGCGUGAGAUAGCCCCUUCUAGCAUGAGACGUGAGGAGGCAGAAAUAAGGUGAUGGUUACCAUUGGAGUUUGACCAUAAGGAUGUACAAUGGGUCCUCCUGGAUGAGUUCAGAGACCCAUCUACAGUAGUUUAACAUCGUGUUCUCAUGGUGCCUGGUAUGUUUGGAACUGCCUUCCAGGAACCCUGCAUGUUAUCACCUCUGUUCCUUCCUUUAAAUCUCUCAUUUAAGCCCAGCUUUUUCAGGAAACAUUUGGCUAGUUUUCAUCCCUUGCUGUUAACUCAAGAUUGUAUUGAAGACUAUUGAAGCACGUGCAACCAAAACAACUGCAUAUUGCUUUCCUCUUUACUCCUGCCUCUUCUGUUUCCCUUGCGUGCUGAAAUUUUAGAAUGUAAGCGCCUUGGGGCAGGGACCUGCCCUCUUGUACUGAUAGUUAUUUAUAAAAUAAAUGAAUAGAGAGUUGCCAACUGACCAAGGGAAAAUGCCUGAGCUGCUCUUGUGCACUUAGCAACAGUUUGGUGUGCAGCAAAAAUCAUGGCAAACUCAUUAUGGCAUGGAGAUAAACACCACUGCCAGCUAACAUCUGCGUACCAAGCCGCUGUUGAAGACACAGCUAUGGCAGCUGGUUGAGAAGCUGGCAUCCUAGAGAUGUUGAACUAAACAUAGCCUUCCCAAACCUGGUGCCUUCCUGAUGUUUUGGACUACAAAUAUUGGCCACGCUGCCUAUGGCCAACAGGAGUUUUAGUCCAAAACAAGUGCAGGGCACUGGGUUGGGGAAGGCUGAACUAAAAUAUACUGGUGAAUCAUCUACUCAACCCAGUUCCAGAGCCAAUUGCUCAUAGGUUAUUAAUCAACUGCCAAGCAAGUUCCUUCAAGCCAGCAUGCCUGUGGGCAAGGAAACCACGAGCCGCAGUGCACACUGAUAACUGUGUCCAAACAUUUUGCUACACGUGCAAGUUUAUCUUAAUUACCCAAGUGAGAGCAGCAGGCUGCGGCACGAAUCGGUCAGGGUCAAAAAGACAAAUUGCCCUAACGCAGCUGCUGGCAUAUGAGAUGACCUUGGUUUUUGUAUAAACUUCCUUGGGGAUUACGUAUUUUUUAAAAAAAAAACAAAAAACAAAACCCCAAACAACAUCAAAGGACUUCACUGUAAAAAAGCUGAAAUGUGGAAUGCUGCCCAAGUUAGGUGAAUUCUAGGUUAGGAGGAGCAGCUAGCAAAACUCACGCCGACCUACAAAGCUCGCCUCUCUCAAAAACUUCUGCAGUGCCUCUGUGCCAAAAAAAUAUAUCCAGGCAAAGAGGGUGAGCGAAUGCCUAGACACCUUGAUUGGUGUUUUGUAUUCUGCAGCUGUUCUGUGCCUAUGUGUGACUGCAUUUGCAAACCCAAUCUGACUGCACCAAAAAAUAGCAUGGGGGUGGACGGUGGGGGGAGCAAAUCCCUUGGCUUUCUCUGGAAAGAAGGGUAAUAAAUCUCUCUGCAGGGAAAACUGCAGUGCUGUGCAUAGGCUUAAAAUGUGUGUGUGUGUGUGUGUGUGUAUGUGCUGUUGGAAUAUAACCUUGUUGUUUUAUUUAAAGAGACUGCCCUACAUUCCAGGCUACCUCAGUUUCACAAACACCUACAAUAAUACCACACCACACCCCAUACAGUUCUACCUUCCAACCAAGCGCCGGAAAACCUGUGUACAAGCAUACACAACCACCCACCACUACCUUGGCUCUGAAGAACCUCACAGAAACCCCGCUUUCGCCCAAACUCCCAUUUAAGAGGAACAAAUAUUCCUGAACUCCAGUCUCCAAAACUGCUCCAGUACCCUAUGGGAGCCUCGAGGCUUUUCUCCCCAGCUCCCAAUUUCAGUGCGCUCUUUAAUGCACCACCACCACCACACCUCCUCUCAGCUGCAUUCAGCCAACUCACCAGUAUGGAGUAAUGACACCUCUCUCUUUUUUUUGCUGCCCAUGACAGCCAUUUUGUGCUGGCACCCACCACAAUGUAAGAGUACCGGCACUUCCAUUUUUUAUUAUAAAAUGAGCACCUGACCCCCCCCCAGUCUAGUUUAACUCCCCCCCCCCAAUAAAAUAAACACAAAGCAGUUUACAAAGUUCACAGAACUCAGCAAAUGAAGUCUUUCAAAUUAAUUUCAGCAGAUUGCCUGAAACUUAAACGUUGGCACACACAAAUAUCCCUCUCCUUUUAGAACAGGGUUGGGAAGCUUCCUGGCAUUGUAAGGACUCCCAUCAUCCAUGACUAUUGGCUAUGGAAUAUAGGAAAUUGCCUUAUACAGAGGCCACAGUCACACCAUAAAAUUUAAUGCAUUGUGACGCCGCUUUAAACGGUCAUGUCUUAUCCAAAGGAUUCUGGGAGCUGUGGUUUGUUAAAGCUGCUGAGAGUUGCUAGAGUACCUCUAUUCCCCUCAGCAAGGUACAAUUCCCAGAGUGGUUUAACAAUCAAUCCCUCUUUUAACAACUAUAGUUGCAAUCAUUAUCUGAGGUCCCUCUUGGGACAUUUUUCCAUAUGUGGUGGGAUUGUAAAAUUGUAAAGAAAUAUUGGGAAAUGAUUUGUAAUGAAAUGAAGAAGAUAUUUAAAAUAACUUUUGUUUAAAAACCAGAAGAUUUCCUACUAGGUAUUACCGGAGUGGAUUUACUAAGAUCACCAAAGAACUUAUUUACGUAUGUAUGCAACUACAGCCGCACAAAUAUUAUUAGCACAACAUUGGAAAGAAGAAGGUGUCCCAGCUAAAGAAGAUUGGCAAGUUAAAUUAAUAGAAUAAGCUGAAAAUUUUGCAAAAUUGACAAUGAAACUAAGAGGAAGAGACAAUUGCAAAUUUAAGGAAGAUUGGAAGGAGCUUAUUGCAUAUAUUCAAAAGCAAUGUACUCAAGUUAAUACAUUGGCAGGGUUUUAAUACUACUUGUAAUUUAAUUUUGAAUGGAUAAGUAAUACAACGGUUUACAAUGGACAUGCAGUACGUUGAUAAACAAUGGAACCAAGGAAGGGACUAGCGGGAAGUCAAUUUAUUUUGAUUUAAUUUGAGAUUGUUACUGUUUUUGUGGGGGUUUUUUUUGGAAAAUUAAUAAAAUGUUAUUUUAAAAAAAAUAUGAGGCCCUUCUUUGCGUGCCUUCUCCGUAAGAGGCCCAGAGGGUGGCAACAUGAGAAUGGGCCUUUUCAGUGGUGGCUCCCCACUUGUGGAAUGCUCUUCCCAGGAAGAACAUCCCCUGGCACCAUCAAUACAUAUCUUUAGGCAUCAGGCAAAAACGUUCCUGUUUCUCAGGCCUUUGGCUAAUUGAACAAUCUAUGGCCUUUUAAACUGUGUGUUCUUGUUUGUUUGGUUGCUAUGUUACGUCUUUUUGUGGUUUUGUAUUGUAAACUGCCCUAUGAUCCUCAGAUGAAGGGCGGUAUAGAAAUUAAAUGAAUUGAUAAAAUGUUUUUCUACUCUACAGUGACUGGGGGUGACUCUCCAGGGUUUCCAUGCAAGGGUCUCCCCAAGCCCUACCUGCAGAUCCCAUUGAUUGAACUUGGAAUCGUCUGCAUUCUUUACUACUGAACUGCAGCCAUUCCCCACACUGGCUAGAACGGAUGUCCGGAAAUAUCUGGAAGGCCCCGGUUUCCCAAUUCCAGCUUUAGCACAGAAGUGUAUCUCCUGCUCUGAAAGGCCAUAAAAAGAGAUCAUUUCGCCUUUGCUCCAUAUUGCACCGUGGGAGAAUCACCCCUAGAGAAAGUUCCAUAGAUCUGAUCUCUUGCAGAAUCUCUCCUCCCCCAGGUUAUUCCUGGCUCAAUGUGCAAACAAUGGCACGGGAAGUAGAUGUGUGUUGCAAACCAGUGGGAAAGUGACUGUGCAAAACUCAGCGGCUAAAUGACGCAACAACGUCAGUCUGUCCCACUUAACUCGGUGAGAUUUCAGAGUGGUUCACUUUGGCCGGAUCAUUACCUAAUUUAAUCCUAUGGCCAAACCAGAAAUUGAUGUUUGGCACAUGGCUUGGACUUUAGUGGCUGACUUUUUAAAUUCAUAAUUGAUGGCCACAUUCACACCAUACAUUUGGAACACAAUACCACUUUAAAUAAGUCAUGGCUUCCUCCAAGGAUUCCUGGGAACUGGAAGUUUGUUUAGGGUGGUGCUACAACUCCUAGAGUUCCCUAUGAAUAGGGAUUGACUGUUAACACUAAUCACUGUUAAUUGUAGCUCUGUGUAGUUAAUCGGGAACACCUAACACCCUUAACAAACUACAGCUCCCAGAAUUAUUUGGGGAAGCUAUGGACAUAGCCAGGAUUUUUGUGGGUGGGGCAGGACUUUUGUGAGGACUUUUUUUUUUUUUAAAAAAAAUAUUUCUUAAGAUUUGAAAAGUUACAAAAAGAGAAAAUAGAAAACAGCAUACUAAGCAGAAACAGAACAUCACAUCAC